GCAUCAAUGGGGUAGUGGUAACCUGGGUUGUUGCCAUACAUUUUCUCUCACAAUGUGUCGACCCGCCGGGGGUUCAAUUCCCCCUUGAUGCA